GCCCGAGUGGUGAAAUUGGUAUACACGAUAGACUCAAAAUCUAUUGGGAGCGAUCCCGUGUCGGUUCGAGUCCGACUUCGGGCA